CUUUUCAUCGGGUCUUUAAUCUUUGUUUUGUUCAAACAGUUUAUCAAAUUUAUAUUUGUGCUGCAUUUUUUUGUCAACUCGUGGUUUUCAAUACUUAUCAGAAGUGAGACCUUCGAUACGUUUGUAAAUGGGAAUGUUAUUGUCCUUGAAAUGAAGAAUGAAAAUGCGACAGAAAGAUAAAUUUUGUGGAUAAAAAUGGAAUAAUCUUCACACUAAAGAGUACCUGCUACAGGUUUCAAGUUUUGCCUAAAUUGGAAUUUCGACGUUUUGCUUUAGAAGAUAUUGUGUUUCAGGUAUGUUGCAAAAUUGUUUUUUAAACAAAUGUAUUGCACUAGAAAUAUAUUGCCGUGGAAGAUGUGGUUUUACAUAGGUGAUUUAUUCUGUAAAAAGUACCCUUUAUCUCUGCACUUAGCAAACAUACUUA